rnacentral:rRNA from 1 species
AACGAACGCUGGCGGCGCGCCUAAUACAUGCAAGUCGAGCGAGAAGGUGUAGCAAUACACUUGUAAAGCGGCGAACGGGUGAGGAAUACAUGGGUAACCUACCCUCGAGUGGGGAAUAACCAGCCGAAAGGUUGGCUAAUACCGCAUACGAUUCUCGGACUGCGGUUCGGGAAAGAAAGCGAUACCGUGGGUAUCGCGCUCUUGGAUGGGCUCAUGUCCUAUCAGCUUGUUGGUGAGGUAACGGCUCACCAAGGCUUCGACGGGUAGCUGGUCUGAGAGGACGAUCAGCCACACUGGCACUGCGACACGGGCCAGACUCCUACGGGAGGCAGCAGUAAGGAAUAUUGCGCAAUGGGCGACAGCCUGACGCAGCGACGCCGCGUGGGGGAUGAAGGUCUUCGGAUUGUAAACCCCUUUCGGGAGGGAAGAUGGGACGGGCAACCGUUCGGACGGUACCUCCAGAAGCAGCCACGGCUAACUUCGUG